UACCUGCAGCUCAAGUGGUGGCCGCUAUUAUUGGGCCUAAAACGUCCGUAGCCGGUCUUAUAAAUGCCUGGGUAAAUCGUACCGCUUAACGGUACGAAUUCCGGGUAGACCGUAAAACUUGAGACCGGGAGAGGCUAGAGGUACUCGUGGGGUAGAGGUGAAAUUCUGUAAUCCUAUGGGGACCACCAGUGGCGAAGGCGUCUAGCUAGAACGGGUCUGACGGUGAGGGACGAAGCCCUGGGGCGCAAACCGGAUUAGAUACCCGGGUAGUCCAGGGUGUAAACGCUGCUUGCUUGAUGUUAGUCGGGCUCCGAGCCCGAUUAGUGUCGGAGUGAAGAUGUUAAGCAAGCUGCCUGGGAAGUACGGUCGCAAGAUUGAAACUUAAAGGAAUUGGCGGGGGAGCACAGCAACGGGUGGAGCGUGCGGUUU
rnacentral:rRNA from 1 species